GCUUGAACCGGUGGCGCGUUUGUAUAGUCCCACCUAUUUGGGAGGCUGAGGCUGGAGGAUCUAUUGAGUCCAGGAGUUCUGGGCUGUAGUGCGCUAUGCGAUCAGGUGUCCGCACUAAGUUCGGCAUCAAUAUGGUGACCUCCCAGGAGCAGGGGACCACCAGGUUGCCUAAGGAGGGGUGAACCAGUCCAGGUUGGAAACAGAGCAGGUCAAAACUCCCGUGCUGAUAAGUAAUGGGAUCUUGCCUGUGAAUAGCCACUGCACUCCAGCCUGGGCAACAUAGCAAGACCCCGUCUCU
rnacentral:SRP_RNA from 1 species